AGUGAACGCUGGCGGUAGGCCUAACACAUGCAAGUCGAACGGCAGCACAGUAAGAGCUUGCUCUUACGGGUGGCGAGUGGCGGACGGGUGAGGAAUACAUCGGAAUCUACUUUUUCGUGGGGGAUAACGUAGGGAAACUUAUGCUAAUACCGCAUACGACCUACGGGUGAAAGCAGGGGAUCUUCGGACCUUUCGCGUUAGAAUGAGCCGAUGCCGGAUUAGCUAGUUGGCGGGGUAAAGGCCCACCAAGGCGACGAUCCGUAGCUGGUCUGAGAGGAUGAUCAGCCACACUGGAACUGAGACACGGUCCAGACUCCUACGGGAGGCAGCAGUGGGGAAUAUUGGACAAUGGGCGCAAGCCUGAUCCAGCCAUACCGCGUGGGUGAAGAAGGCCUUCGGGUUGUAAAGCCCUUUUGUUGGGAAAGAAAAGCAGCAGGUUAAUACCCCGCUGUUCUGACGGUACCCAAAGAAUAAGCACCGGCUAACUUCGUG
rnacentral:rRNA from 1 species